rnacentral:rRNA from 1 species
UACGUAGGGGGCUAGCGUUGUCCGGAUUUAUUGGGCGUAAAGAGCGUGUAGGCGGCCUGGUAGGUCUGCUGUGAAAACUCGAGGCUCAACCUCGAGAUGUCGGCGGAAACCAUCUGGCUAGAGUCCGGAAGAGGAGAGUGGAAUUCCUGGUGUAGCGGUGAAAUGCGCAGAUAUCAGGAGGAACACCGGUGGCGAAGGCGGGUCUCUGGGCCGAUAUUGACGCUGAGGAGCGAAAGCGUGGGGAGCGAACAGG